rnacentral:rRNA from 1 species
CUGGGAUAAGCCUGGGAAACUGGGUCUAAUACCGGAUAGGAGCGCCUACCGCAUGGUGGGUGUUGGAAAGAUUUAUCGGUUUUGGAUGGACUCGCGGCCUAUCAGCUUGUUGGUGAGGUAAUGGCUCACCAAGGCGACGACGGGUAGCCGGCCUGAGAGGGUGACCGGCCACACUGGGACUGAGACACGGCCCAGACUCCUACGGGAGGCAGCAGUGGGGAAUAUUGCACAAUGGGCGCAAGCCUGAUGCAGCGACGCCGCGUGAGGGAUGACGGCCUUCGGGUUGUAAACCUCUUUCAGUAGGGAAGAAGCGAAAGUGACGGUACCUGCAGAAGAAGCACCGGCUAACUACGUGCCAGCAGCCGCGGUAAUACGUAGGGUGCGAGCGUUAUCCGGAAUUAUUGGGCGUAAAGAGCUCGUAGGCGGUUUGUCGCGUCUGUCGUGAAAGUCCGGGGCUUAAC